AAUAUAUGAAUAUCAGAAGAGUGUCCUGAGGCAAAGCAGAUAUACCACUGUUUAAGGAAACGAUCCAAUUUGGGAGCAAGAACUGUGCUUUCCAUUGGCGUACAGGAAGGACAGAAGUUAAUCACCUACAGCAACUCUAAACUCCAGACCCGAGAGAGCACCAGAGGAGUCUACACCAUAAAGGGGAAACACUGACUGAAACCACCCCCCUUGGCCAGGAAAGAUAGUAGCCACUUCCACAAGGAUUCUUAACAACAGGAAGACCUGGGAAGGAAUGUGGAACUAACAAGCUGCUACCGACUGGAAGAAUUCAGGAAUGGCCCAAAGGAGACACCACCUGUCCUACCUACCAACCUCCCAGAAUCCUCCUUGCUGGAAUCCAUCUGGCUGAGUGACGGGUGCACCGCUAGGCAGGACCCUGAGUCAGUGAUUGGCCAGAGACAACCCGGAAAGUAAUCCCAACACCGUAAAACCCAAGACCGCCAGCCAGGGGGCAGAGCCAUCCUCCUGGGCUCUCCUUCCCAACAGAGUCUCUCGCUUUGUCAGCCCCUGUGUCUCCUAGAACCAUUCAUUUCCAAGUGUUAGACAAGAGCCCCCUCUUAUCCUGGAAGGGAUCCACCUUCCUGCCAAAGAUCUGUCUUUGCAGGGCCCUAGAGAACCAAGGAGGGUGGGGGAAAAGGUUUUGAUCCUUUCCCUACAAUAAUAAAGCAGGCUGUUACAAAUAUUAAAACUUUUUCCUCCUCUAUUCUAUUUUCUAAGUAAUACACUCUUCCCCUCACCCACUUAUAAUGCUAAAUAUUUAAUUCUUUGAGUUCAUAAAAACACCUCAUUUGCUAUAUUUCCUAGAUUCUAAAACCUUAGCAAUAGUAUACCUUAUUUUUUUCUGAAAUGUUAUAAAAUUUAUAAACUAAAUAUAAGUUAUGGUAUCAAAUGUGAUAUUAGGCCAUAAAACUAAAAUUAAUAUAAUUUAUACAUCUAUGCUUGUGGAUAAAACUAUGAAGUAAAGCAAAUUAAUGAAAAAAGGGGAUGUGUCAAUGGAAAGAAUGGAUUUGAUUUCUUGAAAUGAGAAAGUUUCUCUUUUAUUAUUACGCUUACAUAUACAUAUACUUCAUAAACAUAUAAAGUUUAUAAAUGCAUAUACUUUGUAAAUUUAUACAUAUAUGUAUGUAUACACUUGGUAGCUCUGUAUCAUUUGUGAAGACAUCAGUUUGUGCUGGCUGAUUCCUGAUUUAGACUGAGCAUGGGCUAUUACUGUCUUUCGAGAUUAUCUUCUUUAGUCAUUGUUUAUGUAACUCAUGGAUGGAAUGGCUUUUGAAAUAGACUUUCUCUAACUUAGUUGGGAAUAAACACUUUUGACAAGAUUAUAUCCUAUUACUUUCCCAAGAUCAAUCUACUGGAAAGCUUGCUUUAAAUUAUAAUUGUGUAAAAGAAAAAAUUUUCCCUUACAGCAGCACUUGCCUGAGAGACAUCAAAAUGAAAACUAUUUCACUAAAUUUCUAACCAGCUAGCAUUGUUAAAGUAUCGUCAACUUUGAGUGACCCCACCAUGAACGCUAGCCUGGCCUGGAAGCAGAGCUUUCAGUCCUUAAUCAGAAUGCCCACUGGAGAAUCCUCUUCUAAACCUUUCAAACCCAGGGCUUUCCCCCGUCUAAGUACUCAGGGAAAAUUCUUUACUGGUAUGUCUUUGAAGCUGACAAAUAAAACA